rnacentral:lncRNA from 1 species
AUAGGUCACCGUACGGCCUUCAACAAUGAGCAUAGCCCAUACCACAUAGUCAGCUAUAAAAGGCCCCGAUAAGACAAUGUAAAACAAUUCAAACGAGAAAACUAACGGCCUUUUUAUGUAAAAAAAAAAAAAAAAAUGAACGAAAAACAAAUAUGUAACACAUAAAUAAACGAGAACCACUGAAUUACAGGCUCCUGACUUGGGACAGGCA